GCCGGGGUGGUGAAAUUGGUAGACGCAGCGGACUCAAAAUCCGCCGGGCUUUUGAGCCCGUGCCGGUUCGAUUCCGGCCCUCGGCA
rnacentral:tRNA from 1 species